GAGGGAGAUUCAAGAUCUUCAGCCAAUGUUUUCUCAGCUCCAGCCACUGAGUCAGGCACCCCAGGCCCUCAGUCCAGCUUCGGUCCACACCCCUAUUUUUGCAUGUGCCUCUGCUCUGCAGGACCUGACCCCAGAUUCUGAGCAAACGUCACUGUUGGUGGAAGAGCACGAUGAAGUAGAAGUGGCUGCCGCAGAGGAAGAGGAGGGCGUUGACCCCACAGUGCUUGAUAUGGCUCCACCAUCUCCUGAUGACGACACAAUAAGGCACACCUUUGGCUCUUGGCACAGCUCCCAGGCACAUACUUUACUCCUGUACCCUCCACUGCUGCCCAUGACACAAGCUCCAACACUGGCAUGACCUCCAUGACCUCAACCACACUGCUGACCCUGGCACGACCUCCAUCACUGCUGACCCUGGCACGACCUCUACUAACUCCUACCCUGGCACCAUCUCCACCACCGCUGGUACCUCCUCCUCGCGGGUUGCAGGGAUACAGCCUACUGGACCUACUGAAUUGCACAAAACUAUGGCUGUUGAAGACCAGUGCCCCUGAAUACCAGCUCAUUGACAGACUUCCAGAAUAUUUGCUUGGGCUCCUGGAUCAGACAUCUCUUCCUCACUAAUCACAAGGCAAAAUAGUAGCCCUUUGGAAAAGACUGGAUGAACGUGACAAGCGGGUUGCUGUAUGCUGCACGGCACCAAGACAAACUCCUGUGUGGACAUUUUAAAAUGCCAAAGAAGCCUUCAAAGACAUCAGUUGUGGAGAGCACAACCUGUAGCAUCUUGGAUGCAAGCAGUACACCUGUGGCUGGACUGUUGUCAGCUUGUGGAGACAGUUGGUAUUAGACUGUGUGAUGAGCACAGACUAUUUGAAAGGUUGGAUAGUCUCUGUAAUGUUAAUGGGUUUUUUUUGUUGGGCGGGGUCAUUAUUGGGAUUUGAUCUGAUUUUUAUAAUCACGUAAUGGUGCAACAUAUGUCUUAUUUUCUUUUAAAUGGCCUAUGGAUACUUGACCCGGAUUUUCCUCUGUCUGGACCAUGCACAGUGACUUUUUGAGACUCAGACUGUACCUAUGAAACAUGUGAUGGACCACUCUUAUUCUCUCAUCACCAACCUCAGCGGUGUGUGUGUGUCUGUGUGUCUGUGUGUCAGUGUUUUAUAUAUGAAUGGUACUGGACACCUUAUUUUCCCUCAGGAUUAAUGGAAAAUGGAAAAUGUUCUGCUCUACUCUAAAGAAGGAAUUAAAGUUGCCAUUGUCAGCUGAUGCUGGCUUUUUUGUUAACAUUAAAUAUGGUUAAAAAAAUAAAAUUUCUACUUAAUUACA